UUAUGGUAUUGGAAACAUUAUUUUGGAAAUAAUCUAUUUAUUUUUGUACAUAAGUUAUGCAAGAUUUUGAUAUUUGCAUAUGAUACCAUCAUAUCCAUUUUCUUAAUUUGCAAUAAAAUAAUAAAAUGCCAAACAUGACCUGUGUUACAUAAACUGUCAACAAAAUAACAAGACAAUACCUAAAAACACCCUUAUUUCACACCACUAACAAUAAACAGAUAACAAUCUGUCAGGCAUUCAGAGCUAAACAGGGUACUGAUUAUCUAGGGGUAGAUAAGGCUACUGAUGGGGUUUGCCUAGAGAUAAGGCUGUGUGGAAUAAGAUAUAAGGCUUUUGAUUGGCUAUUGCACUGAGGAAGUUAUCUUUUUGAAAACAACAACUUUUGAAAAAUAAGCUGGUGUCAGCAAUUGAAUAUUGAGCUAAAUUUAAUUCAGCAACAUUAAUAUAAAGAAGUGAAAGACUUAUAAUGGUAGUGUAAAAUGUCUUGAAAUUCUGUCAGCAUGAAGUAUUGUGUGAUGAAAACAAUGUGUUUUUUACUGCAAUGUGGAAAUCAAUAAUAAGUUGGUUGGAAAGGAGGUUGAACUGCCUGUUGUUGUUUUUGGAAUACUGAAGAACAGUUUUAACAGGUUAAACUCUUGCCACAAGGCAAAAUUGACAUCGAUGGGAAGAUCCUUUGGAAAGAAUGUGCAUCAUCGCCUGCCUGAUGUAUGGACUUUUAAACCUGGUUUUUACCCUGCACAAGCUGGCAAACUUGAGGGGAACAAGAUUGGGAAAACCUCGCCCUGUCCUUGACCAAGAAAGCUCGAUUUGUUGAGAGAUCAACUGGCAUAAGAGAUGCUCAAGAGGAGAAGGACACAAGCAGCAUCAAUGGUACAACUACGUGUCGCUCCAGCGCCCGCUUUCCAGGUCUCUACCAGCUGCUUUCCAGGUCCCUCCACCCGCCAAGAUCAGGUCUAAUUCCCUGCACUGGCUGCUUUCCAGGUCCCCUAGCAGUCAAGGUCUCUCCAGUAGCUGCUGUGCAGGUCCCAACACUGUAUGCCGUCAAGGUCCCUCCAUAAGCUGAAAUCCAGGUUCCUCAUUCCACUGCGG